CCCCUCUCAGGGUCGCACCUGGAGAGUUUCCAGUCCUCUACCAGUCUCGACUAUGGGAGGGAGAGUCAAGCAGAGGCCUGUCCGUUCCAUUCCUUGCUUGGGCAGUGGUUAGUGAGUGGAAGACAAUCUGCUACAGAU
rnacentral:snoRNA from 2 species